rnacentral:tRNA from 1 species
GCUGAAGUAGCUCAGCUGGGAGAGCGUUAGACUGAAGAUCUAAAGGUCCCUGGUUCGAUCCCGGGCUUCAGCA